GGACCCAAGUGAGAGCACGCAGCAUGAAUUAAAUACAACAUGGUUCAUCCCAUGAGAAAUUCAGUGCUGAUGGAAAACUGCAGAAAAUCCAGAUGAGUUCGGGCUGAGUGGCUGAAUGACAGACAGCACUGCAUCAGGGACCAUUAAAGUGUUUUUGCGUAGAUGGCAUUUCUGACUUCGGGAUUCCUAAAAGGUCAAGACAACCGUUUUCAUACAUAUAAUUUUACUACACUGAAAGCAAUGAAUAAGCACUCCCAGAGAUUCAAUGAGAAAAGCAGAAGAGGAAACAAUAAUAAUAAUAAUCUUGUCCCUGUGGUUUUAUCUUUACUACUGUCUUUAUCUUAAAAUUUAGGUUUUAUUUUGUUGACUGAGUUUUAAGUAUUGUACCAAAGUAAAAAAAAAAAAAAAAAAGCACUCUGGGUGGAGGGUGAGGGUAGCUUUUUAGCUUCACUAGAGCGGGGUGGGGGUAGGGACACAGACCUUUGGUGGUGGAAAUGGUGUUAAUAUACACUCCUAUUAAAAAAAUAGGUCUUAUUUUGUUGCCAAAUGACAUUUCUAAAAGGAAAGAGUCUUCCUGGAAAGUCUUGGU